GGUACGGUGGGAUAAAAAAAAAAAAUUGGAUAACAAAGGGUUUUGAACUCGGUAGUCAUGUUGUGUGAUUUUUCUUUCUCUUUUUUUUCUGUGCAUCACAUAUACUCUGGGGGUUAAUUUCAUUCUUUUGAUUCUUUUUCUACUCAAAUUUUCCGAGCAUUUUAUAUCUGUUAGAAUCUAAGGUCUCGGCAAGUGCAUUUUUCUCUUUUAUUUUUUUUUCUUUUUUUCUUUUUUUUUUCUUUUAAAGAAACUACAUACUAUUUUCUUUUUGUAUGAUCUCAUCUUAUGCACUUGCCUUCUCUUUCAAGAUUUCCACCCCAAACUUAGUUUUAUUGCACAUCUUGCAAUUCACACAAUCAUACCGAGUUAUGACACAAAAGGAAAUGGAUGAUUAAAAGUUAACAGGGGGUUCAUGAUGAAUAAUGCUUAAACGUUAACAUGGGGUUUACAAUGAAUAAAAUGGCUAAGGCUCAACGGGGUUUACGAAGGGAAACAUACAUAUAGGGAUGGCUAAAAAGGCCCUGGCUAA
rnacentral:lncRNA from 1 species